UACGAAGGGGGCUAGCGUUGCUCGGAAUCACUGGGCGUAAAGGGUGCGUAGGCGGGUCUUUAAGUCAGGGGUGAAAUCCUGGAGCUCAACUCCAGAACUGCCUUUGAUACUGAGGAUCUUGAGUUCGGGAGAGGUGAGUGGAACUGCGAGUGUAGAGGUGAAAUUCGUAGAUAUCAGGAAGAACACCUAUGGCGAAGGCAGCUCUCUGGGACGGUACUGACGCUGAGACGCGAAAGCGUGGGGAGCGAACAGG
rnacentral:rRNA from 1 species